GACAGAGGGUGCAAACGUUGUUCGGAAUUACUGGGCGUAAAGCGCGUGUAGGCGGCCAUCUAAGUCGGGCGUGAAAUCCCACGGCUCAACCGUGGAAGUGCACUCGAAACUGGAUGGCUAGAGUAUGGUAGAGGGUGGUGGAAUUUCCUGUGUAGCGGUGAAAUGCGUAGAUAUAGGAAGGAACACCAGUGGCGAAGGCGACCACCUGGACUGAUACUGACACUGAGGUGCGAAAGCGUGGGGAGCAAACAGG
rnacentral:rRNA from 1 species